CCUACGGGAGGCUGCAGUGGGGGAUAUUGCACAAUGGGGGAAACACUGAUGCAGCGACGCCGCGUGGGCGAAGAAGGAUUUGGGUAUGGAAAGCCCUAUCAGCAGGGGAGAAGAAAUGACGGUACCUGAGUAAGUAGCACCGGCUAAAUACGUGCCAGCAGCCGCGGUAAUACGGAGGAUGCGAGCGUUAUCUGGAUUUAUUGGGUUUAAAGGGUGCGUAGGCGGUAUUUUAAGUUAGUGGUAAAACGUCGGGGCUUCACCUUGAUUGGCCAUUAAAACUGGAGUACUAGAGUACAGACGAGGUAGGCGGAAUAAGUUAAGUAGCGGUGAAAUGCUUAGAUAUAACUUAGAACCCCGAUAGCGAAGGCAGCUUACCAGACUGUUACUGACGCUGAAGCACGAGAGCGUGGGUAGCGAACAGGAUUAGAUACCCCAGUAGUC
rnacentral:rRNA from 1 species